AUCACAGUCUUCCCGACCAUUGCUGUACAGCUUUUACACUUCGACUUCUUGAAGAGUGUUUCGACAAGAAUAACAUAAACUCCAACCACAACCACAGCUGCCACGAUUAAUGCCAACAUGGUAUCGACUGGGAUAAAUCUAUUCCCAGGUGCAGCAACGUCUCAGUUCGCCUGUGAACAGCGAGAGUAUCUGCACUCCCAAAUUAGGCAACCCCUUUUCUUCCUUCCUUUUGCUCGUUUUACCGGUUUAAGACUUUCGACGCGUCUCUCCUAUGACAGAGGAUACGUCUGCUUGGUGUAGCCUACUUGCUUAACAGGUCCUAAAUCGUUUCUCGGUCCUGCCGUCCUUUGUGGCACAAAUCAGGAUUGACAGACUGGUAAUAGCCCGCGUGAUCCGUGCCGAAGUAUUUUGGUUAUGAAGGCCUACUAUAGGCUACCUAUUGGAAUACACGUAACUUAAGCAGGUCAGCGUCCUGUUUACAUGUCGUCGAAGAGUCUCUUUGGGCAGAACUCCAAGCACUAUAUCUUGUGAUCACCCAGCACUGCUCAUCACCAGGCUAAUACCAUUCCUACGGUGAAGCGUGGUGGUGGCAGCAUCAUGCUAUGGGCGUGCUUCUCAGUGGCAGCUUUCUGGCCACUGCAUCAUCCUUGGCCUUGGGGAGAAGAUCCGCCACGGCAGAGUUGGAGAAGUAACACCCACUCAGCGGCUCAAUGCCCUCCUGGAGGGCACAGUGCAGAGUGGUCUGGGCUCCAGAAUCUGCAUCUACGCAGAACAGCAAGGCUACUGGAAUGAGGAGGAUCUUCCACCAUAUACGAGUGUAACGAGCUAUAUCCGUUCUGACCCCUCCUGUGGAACAGAAAAUCUCUGGAGCUAUUUGCCGUCAGUCUGGUUGUCAGCAAGUGAAAUGCUCAACUGGAAUGAGGUCAGAUGAUUGACUUGACUUAUUCUAAUUUUUGACUCCUUGGUUGGUUUGGCUGUAUCUUUUGGAACAUUGUCCUGCUGUAGGAUGAAGCGUCGUCCAGUCAGUUCUGAUGCAUUUGCUUGGAUGUUUUCUACAGACUUUGGCAGUCAGCAGCAGCGACGUCAUCAAUGAACAUAAGUGAGCCAGUUCCAGUGGCAGCCAUACAUGCCCAAGCAUGUGCAAAAACACCACA